CAGUAAUUCAGUGAGAGUAAUUUGGAGUUGAGUUUGAGUUCCCAGGAGGAGAAGGGACAUUAUGGAGAUUUCUGGAAGGCUGGCUUCUUAAGAACAAGGAUGUGUGAUAUCCUCUUAGAUUAUAAGACUAGCUGAGUCUGAAAUCAUAAAGCAUAGUACCAACUGAGAACUGAGGGUGAGUACUCCAAAAAGACGCACAAGGUACUCUGAGUAUCUGCCAUUAGAGGACUCUUCAAAACAUGACAUGAAGGGUUUAUGUAAACACUG
rnacentral:lncRNA from 1 species